rnacentral:rRNA from 1 species
AGAGUUUGAUCCUGGCUCAGAAUAAACGUUGGCGGUGCGCCUUAUGCAUGUAAGUCGAACGGUCGAGUAUGUAACUUGUUAUGUGCUCGGUAGUGGCGAACGGCUGAGUAACACGUAAGUAACCUGCCUUUGAGUGGGAAAUAACCUGUCGAAAGGCAAGCUAAUGUCCCAUACGGUAACCGGGCAAAAGCCUGGUUAUCAAAGCCUUCGGGUGCUCGGAGAGGGGCUUGCGUCUGAUUAGCUAGUUGGUGGGGUAACGGCCUACCAAGGCGAUGAUCGGUAGCUGGUCUGAGAGGAUGGUCAGCCAGAUGGGGACUGCGACACGGCCCCAACUCCUACGGGAGGCAGCAGCAAGGAAUUUUGGGCAAUGAGCGAAAGCUUGACCCAGCGACACCGCGUGAGGGAGGAAGGCCUUCGGGUUGUAAACCUCUUUUCUUGGGGAAGAAUUCUGACGGUACCCAAGGAAUAAGCCUCGGCCAACUACGUGCCAGCAGCCGCGGUAAAACGUAGGAGGCGAGCGUUAUCCGGAUUUACUGGGCGUAAAGCGCGUGCAGGCGGUUUGGUAAGUCGGACGCGAAAGCUCCUGGCUCAACUGGGAGAGGCCGUUCGAAACUACCAGGACUAGAGGGCAGCAGAGGGAGGUGGAAUUCCAGGUGUAGCGGUGAAAUGCGUAGAUAUCUGGAGGAACACCAGUGGCGAAGGCGGCCUCCUGGACUGUCCCUGACGCUAAGACGCGAAAGCUAGGGGAGCGAACGGGAUUAGGAACCCCGGUAGUCCUAGCUGUAAACGAUGCACACUUGGUGUUGGUGGCGUAAAACCCAUCAGUGCCGCAGCUAACGCGAUAAGUGUGCCGCCUGGGGACUACGGUCGCAAGGCUAAAACUCAAA